rnacentral:miRNA from 1 species
AUUUGUAUAUAUAUACAUAUAUAUAUAUGUGUGUGUGUGUGUGUGUGUGUGUAUAGCGGAACAUACAGAUUAAAAUAAGUGAUGUUACACAUA